rnacentral:rRNA from 1 species
UACGUAGGUGGCAAGCGUUGUCCGGAUUUACUGGGCGUAAAGCGUGCGCAGGCGGUUUUGUAAGUCUGUCGUGAAAUCCCCGGGCUUAACCUGGGAAUGGCGAUGGAGACUGCAAGGCUAGAGUUUGGCAGAGGGGGGUAGAAUUCCACGUGUAGCAGUGAAAUGCGUAGAGAUGUGGAGGAACACCGAUGGCGAAGGCAGCCCCCUGGGUCAAAACUGACGCUCAUGCACGAAAGCGUGGGGAGCAAACAGG